CACGAUACCUAUUUCAUUAGAGUAGUGGAGAGGUUCGUAGGUUAGAUAAAAUGUAUUCUAGGUGUAGUCUCUAUACCAGUAGGAAUUAUAAAGCUUUAAAAAAUGUAGAUUACAAAAGUGAACUAGAAUAAUAAGUCUCAUAUGACCUAGAGAAGAUUGCAUAAAAUGGAUAGCAUAGAAUAAUGAAUAAUCCAAGAUGGCGCAGUCAUCGCCCGGUUGAAAAUGUAGGCUGUCGUAACUGCGUAAUUUGGUUUAUCAUCGAAAAGAUGGGAGUGAAAUCGCCCCGGGAGGCAGCAAAGAUAUAAAUAAUAAGAUGUGCCACAGCUCAGUCAAGAGACUAGCGAUGGAUCAAAGGAGUUUGUUUAACUGUGUAUUGAUGGGUCGCUUUUUCAACAGAGCCGGGUUAUGACAGUCAGGCAGGCAGGUCGCAUAGAUGACGUUGUGAUAGCUUGUAGAGCCUUCGUAUACCCUCGGUCGCGACCCUUUCGUAUCAACAAGGAACCCGCUCGUCCGUAGAGAAACGUCCCCGAUUAGGGAUUUUCUUUAAUUUAAAUUAAGUACAGAUAUUUAUAAAAAUAUAUUGGAGCUGCAGGCAGGCUUGUUCGCGAUAGGAGUUAAGCUACGAUAAGAGAUUUCAAAUAUCGUCGUCGAAUUUUCAUUUUGAAAGCAUUUGCAAACAUUCGGAUAUAAUUUGAACCCCUUAAUUUUUUUUUCUUUAUAAGGAGGCAGGGAUCAAAUUAAAUGCUCAUUAAUAUCGAGGUGAAAAAUAUAGAAAUUAGAACUAAAUAGAUCGUCUAUCGGGGAUACUUUUUAUGUAGAUCGUAGACGUGUUUCUUGAGUUAGAUAUUCGAAUAUAACGGAAUUUCGAGCGUAAACAAGAAAAAUACAAAUGAAAUUUUGAGAUAAUGCACAGAAGAAAUAAUUAAACGAAUAUUCAAGCAAAAGAUAAUACUCAGAAAAGACUUCGGAAAGGUCAGUCGAAAUAACAGGCGUCCUUUGGAAAUAAUAAAAAAUUGGCGAAAUAGAGCAUCGACAUUUAUGUCCUGAGGUAAAAACUUAAAGCAGUAACUAGUUUUCAGAGUUAGUCAGCCGAUUUGUUAGCUCGACUCAGAACAGGUCAGUAGGCGAGAAAUACGUAGAUUGUAAAGUCCCUACACCUAAUGGUUUUAUUGAAAACUAAAUGAAUUUAAAUGAUAAUGCGCUGAGGAAGUAAUUUCGAUAUAAGCUGAGCAAAGGUAAAGCUCUAUUUUUAAUGAAAGAUCAUUUAAACUAAAAGGUCCCGGUCGUCGGUAAAUCUAAGUAUAUGCGGUUAUCGAGAGUCUGACGAUAUCGUAAGGUAAAAGUUUUUAAUGUUGUAGUUUGAAAACAGAUUGGUUACUUUUACCCAGUUAUCCGGUCACGGGACAAGAAGUAAGAGAUAUUUAGAUAGUACUUGCUUGAAUUUUCCAAAGGUCAAAAACAACACACAAAGAAUGAAUGCAAUAUGGCAAUAAAGAUAUCGAUUACACCAUACAGAAGGUUGGUUUAAAAUAUAAGUAGUUUGCAAUAUAAUUUCGAAUAAAUAGAUAAGACCGUCGGAUGUCUAAAACACUGGAGCAGUUUUGCAAGUAUAGGUAAUACAUAUAUUGAAUAUAUUUUCACAAUCCACGAUCUUUCGCAUCGGAGAUUCAAAACAAUGCGGAAGGUGGGUUUAACUUCUUAUUUUUAAAUUACCCUAUUACGUCGGAGCUAUAUCGAAAGCUGGAAGUCUGAUUAGUAUUCUGAAGUAACAUUUACUCGGAUUAUGAGUUAAGGAAGGAAGUACAAAACAAAUUUUAAUUAACAUAAUUUAACGAUUUAUGCCAAUCCUUAAGGUCAGUAGCCGUGAAGUAAAUGCAGAUGUAAAUUGUUGGUGUCGCGUACCACGACUAAGGUUGGUUUUAUUCAAUAUUCUGUUUUUCCACCGAACUAAAGGAAAGUACAAUCUAAAUACACUUCACUUCGGGAAUUCACGAUAAAAUAUAGGUAAAAACCUUAACAUCUUAAUACUCAACAAAACAUCGUGGACAUGACACUAUAAUAAACGCCGGAAAAAUCAAGGUUAAUAUGUAUAUUACUGAAAACAGAGAAAUAAUUUUAUUGAUUGGAGAUAUUCAAAUAACCAUGCGAGUAGAUACUGCAUAAUUCACAAUUUAACAGCUGUCAAUAAAAAUCACUUGCACGCCUUAGUAAGGUUAGUAAAAUUGGGCAUAUAAUGCUUUUCAUGUAAGGAUCCAUUGAACGUAUGUAAUGUUUAUAUAUUAAUUCUUGUAUGUUAUUUAUCCUGUAUUAUAUAUUAUGUUUGCAAAAUUACAUUUAAUUUUAUUAGUGCCGCUAAUUGUGUUUUUGUUUCCCAUAAACAUCAACAGGUUUUUGUAAAGUGGAUGUAAAUACUAUAUAAUAUAUAUAAUACACCCAGCAGUAUAUAUUAAUGGAAAAAUUAAAUUUAAUUGUUCGACCGUAUUGAACACAUCCUCUUUCAGUUUUUUUUCUAUAUUAAAGAUCAAAUUGAGUUGAAUUAUAAGAAAUAUUUUAAAGCAAAAAUUUACAAGAUAUUCAAGACAUAAAGAACAUUGAGCCAAGUUAUAGAAAACAUCUUUAAUUGAAGAUUAUUUGAAAUAUGAAGUGACGAAGAUAUUCAGAAGAUUUAUUUAAUUACAAUGAUUAUAAUCAAGUAUGAUAGAUAAAACAAAAUGAAAGCUCAAUUAAUGUUAAUGUGUUUAAGUGAAACAAAAAUAACGUAAAUGAUGAUAAAUAAAGGGUCAUUCCCCAAAGUUACAGUUUCAGUGUGAUUGUGGUAUGGUUUUUUAUUAUUUUAAUGUGGUGGGUUUAUAAUUAAUAUCAAGAGAAGUUUAUGUUUGCAAAAAUAGUUUGGGUGAUGAGUUUCGAAAUAUCGAUAGAUAAAUUCUGAAUAAGGAGUAAUCAGUUAGAAACACCUAAUAGCAUGAUUUAGUAGCUAAUUGGCUAUUGUGUUGAUGUUGGUGAGAGUGCUAAUGUUUUGUUUGUCUAUCAAUUAUUGAUAGUGUGCAAAGUAUUGUGAUAUAUAUUAACUUAUGGUCGUAUAAUGGUUGCCCAUAUAGAAAGUUUUGUGUUAAGUGGUUGUGUUUAGUUCUAUUUCUUUCUGUAAUUCAUUUCAAAUGAAUAAAGCUUUGUAAUGUGCAAAAGAGCUAACACGGCGUUUAAGCUUGUUUAAAAUUUAUUACACGUAUUUUUUCGUAAUACCUUCCAAAUCUGUUCCAAUAUUAUUUCGUAGGAAACCCUUCCUCUAAAUAUGUUCACAGAAGUUUUGACACGUUGAUGUAAUACCAUGAGCAUCGCCACUCACCACAUGACCAGUCAGCAAAGUAAAUAACAAAAAAAACACGGUAUUCUUCGGUACGUACGUUUUAGUAUGUUCACAGGUUUCCUCACCAGUUAAAAUAACAACGAAUACACCACAGAUGAUGUAGAAUUUUAAUUUACGCUUCAAGCACGAGCUUGUGAAAUGUCAAAACACUAGAAACCAUCAAGAGCAUUCCAAUUGUCCACCUAGACGUAGGUACCGCUAACAGUGUGCUUUCAGAAUUUCGUAGUCCUGUUACGCUUUGAACUGCCGCGAUACAAGGAGGUGGUCUAGCUGCCAUUCGAUCCGUGCUUAAGGUUACAAACAAUAGUCAAUAUCUACUUAGAUACUAGACUCGCAGAAAGCUUGCAGGACAAAUUGUCGGUUGAGACGUGGAAAUCGUUCAGCAGAAAAUUGGUAAAGUCCAAUAGAGUUUAAUUAUUUAACUACUCAUUGCCUACAGAUCUAUAGCAUCGGAUAUGCUGAACUCGACUCAAUUGGUAAAGCUUAAACUGUCAUUAGAUAGGUGUGCAUUUAGUGUGAUUACAGAUUACGCGUGUCGGGUAUAAAACUAAUGAGGAAUUCGAGAUAACGCACUGAAAGGUUGAAUGAUAUUUACUAGAUAGUACGCUCGCAGCAUGCUUGCAAAACAAAUUGUCCUUUGACUUACGAUACGGGAGAGCAUCUAUCGGAAACUUGGUAACAUCCAAAGCUAUAAUUAUGUAACCUUUUAUCUAAUCCCAUACAAAUAGAUGUGAUUGGCAUCGGACAUGCUGAUAUCGAGAAAAAGGGUAAAGUUUUAUUUUUAUCCCACUUAAUAUUUACCAUUAUUAGAUAGGUGUGCUUUCAUGUGUGAUUACAGAUGUUGCACGCCCGUCGUGAAAAUUUUCGAGGAUUACACAUUACCCUGUAAUGUAUUCAUAUGUCUUUAUUAUUUAGCAAUAUUGCUUGUGUAGAUAAAUUUAAUGUUCCCUUGAACUUAACAUUUUCCUAUAUGGAAAAUAUCGUGUUUUAAAUCUUUUCGCAGUUUUAACUCGUCGUGAUCGUGGAAAUAGACUCCAAAAGGCGGUAACACUCGAGUUCUUUAUUGCAUGAGAACCAAAAAUCUUUCCCUAAUUAUUAUAAUCACUAUUUUGGUACGCUUCUGUUGUAGUUUUAAGUGUUAGGGAACGGCUUUUUCUUAGUAUGUUUCAGAUGUUGAGCUACGGCUUUUCUAGGAGUUUGGCACGGAGUCUCAAUAGCACUGUAUAACAAAGGUCCGUUUUAUGAAAUAACACCUUUAAUAUCUUCCAUUGCAUCUUGUAAGCUAGGCAAAACGCACUUAAUAUGAUUCCAGAUAAAGCGACAAAGCGCUUGUGACGAUGCUUUCUCACUCGACUCAUCCGGUAAACAAAUUAAUAUUCUUACUAUGAAUAACAUAAUGUUAUAUUUUUAAAACUAUUACUUAAUUUUUCUACUGUAUAUUAGGUAGAUAGCAAUAGGGAACGAUAUGAUUAGAAUGUUUCAGAUGAAAAGUGCACGCAUUCGGGAGGUUGGUCUUGUCGUCUCAUUCAUCGGUAAAUUAAACUUUAUCUAUGAAUGCGUGUUAUUCGCAGAAAUCGGUUUGUUUUUUUUAUUUGCAGAAAACCUGACCGCGAGAGUUCGUUAGAGCAUCGAGAUGCUUGCGCGGUCGAGCAAUAACACAGCUUACUUUUGUAAGUCAAAUACAUAGAAAUUAAAUCUUGUCGCAAAAUUAAAAAAGUUACUUGGAAUACAUAUUAUAAUAUAUUUAAACAUAUAAUAUUAUUUGUCGGUUUUCUUUUAUAUGUAGAUAGGAUACGAUAGGCAAACCAUACAUUAAAUGUUUCAGAUGAAAUCGGCAGAUCCGUUUUGGAGCUUCACCAUAUUAAAAUGGUAAAUUUUCAAAUGCAUCUUUAAAAUAUAUUUCGCCAGAAAUCGGUUUUGUGUCGUAUGUUCACAGAAAAUCUGAUGAGGAUAGAAUGUCAAAGAUCCAGAUGAUCCCGCGUUCGUUGCGUCGCCGGUAAUAAAAACACAAUUAUUAUGGCCAAAGGCCACUUUAAUAAGCAAAAACGGUUUUUCUUCAUAUGAUUUCAGAUGUCCAGGACGAUAUUGUGACACUGAUUAUGUUCUAAUCACGCACAAACGAGUAGGUAAUAUGAAUACUCAUGUACACAAAGCUUAACCCUAGGCUUAGGAUAGCAUCCCGCAGAAUUCGGUUGUUUUGAAUGAUUGCAGAAUCCCUGGCAAUGGGCGAGUUAGUCCCGAGUCCGCCGUUACGAGAGGUGAAGGUUAGGUAGAUAUGAAUGUUCCACACCUAGAUUGCAUAAAUAAGUGUAUUUUGCAUGUAGGAAGCAUUUUGUUGAAGUAUGUUUCAGAUUUGGCCCAGUGUUAGCUAAUGCGUAGAACGUAGCCGAUUUUCCGGUAACCGUCGUUAUUUAACGAGCAAAUCUUAAUAUUUUACCCAGUAUAUUUAGGAAGCAGAGCCAAUAAUAUAUUGCAGACUGGUCGAGGUUAACGGAACAAUCUAAUUAUGAGUAAGAUUUUUGCCAUGAGCUGUAUAAAAUUAUUUGUAUAUAAAAUUAUAUAUUUAUUGCGUUAUUUUAUUUUUCCUUUAGCCAAUAACAUAUUGUAACUAAAUAGCUUUAGAAAUAGUGGUAGGGUGCUAUGAUCAUCUCUUCCAGGUCUUGAGAUCUUUCACCAUGUUUGGAUAUUGAGUGUCGCGGUGCAUAUCGCAAUAUUGUAUGUAAAUAAACAUAUUUAUUUGAGAGAUGUGAACGUUAACACCCAGUAAUCCUAGCACGAGCACGAUGUUUGUAAUAGUAUUGCAAAUAAUCAUGGAAAAUUCAAAAUGGGUUGGUAAAUUAAGCAACAUUAAAACAAUGUAGAAUCUGCGUCUUUGGAAAGUGAUUGUUAGAGGUUUGUUAUAGUUUCGUGUGCAACUAAUAUUCGGGCUUAAAUUUAACAAUUUAAUUCUGUAAUAUGUGGUGGUCAUGAAAUAGACGGGAAAGCUUUCAAAGUUAAUGUCUGAUUGGCGUUCAGUAAUUUUUUGCUGGUUGCGUUCAUUGUUUUCAUUUUUACGCUUUUGCAUCAAACUUAUUUCGCAACCUCCACCGAAUAGUUGUCUGUACAAUUUAUAACAAGCUAGCCUUAGGAUAGUCUUAUACCUCAUACGUUUUGGUGAUUUCAGCACGUAGAAACAACAGCUGUGGCUAACGUUUAUAUUGACAUAUUUGCAACUUUAGUCUUACUGAGCAUGAAGCUUGAACGGUUCAUGGUAAUCAAUCGACUUCCGGCAUUUCCAGCUUGUGUGGUGCAUCGUUUCAAAAACUGCGUUUAUGUAAUUUAAUAAAUUGCACAAAACCUUUUUGUUGACGCCAAAAUCAUGUAAAUCACUCCACCCGGAUGAUAUUGUGUGCUUUGAUGUUCAAUUGUCAUCGGUAUGUUAUUUCCUUCGUAUUUUUUCAUGUCUUCGCUAAUAAACGCUUAAUUUACGGUUUGCAAAUUUUAUAACACUACACAGGUUUAGUGUUAUGCCCUAUUCCUGAUAUUGUGAUGUGUGUUCUUAAUUAGUACAAUUUAUAUUUAUUCUGUUAUUUAUAUUGUGUUAUGUAAUGCUUUUAAUCAUCUAUUUAGGACUUUCACAAUCUACUUAUGUAUUUAUUUAAAGCAAUUUCCUACAUUUUUGGAAUUCUAACACAUGGUUCUUGUGUACUGCAAUGCUUUUAUUUCGCAAGCGAUAAAUAAUUAUUAUACUUAUAUUGUGCCUAUUUUGUGUAUGAUAAAAUGCAAUAUUUUAUAAAUCAUGUAAAAAUGUAUAAAAACAUAUACUGAAGAUGGAAAGUACAUGUAAGUUUAUACAAUGUUAAUAUAUUUAAAAAUAACUUGUAUAAAAUAUAAUAAAUAUUUUUUACAGGAACUAGAAAAUUAUAGGAUGUUGAAUAAUAACUAAAUGUAAUCUAUUUAAACAAAUUUCUGUAUGAAAAUAAAAGUUAAACAAAGGUCUAUGAAAUUACGACUUUAUAAAAUUACUUAUAAAUUAUAAUAAAACGAGGAAACCAAAGGAAGAGUUACUAAGUACCUUAUUACUUAUAUUAUAUAUUGUAAAAAACGUAUGACGGACGUUGAAAUGAAUAUAAACGAAUUAUUUAUAUUAUGGAAAUAGGUAGGCAAAGAAGUAAUCCGGGCGAUGACAUAGGUAGGGUAUAUACCUAUAUAUUUUAUACCUACAAUAUAUAUAUUUUUUUGUUUGUUAUUUAUAACUUAUAUAAGGACAAAUAAUGUUUUGAAGUAAUUGAUUUAAAAAAAAGUGAUUCCCGUGGAGUUUCUUGCGCCGCUUCUUCUCCACGGAGGAACACUUUCCGAAGCGGUGGUAGAUUUUUUCUAAAAGUAAAAAAAAACAAUCUUAAAAAUCUAAAAUCAUGAAAUAUACAUAAGUUUUAAAAUCUA